rnacentral:tRNA from 1 species
GGGGAUUUAGCUCAGUGGUAGAGCGCUUGCCUAGCAAGCGCAAGGCCCUGGGUUCCAUCCUCAGCUCCA